ensembl:lncRNA
GGCGAGUUUACCUGGUGAUAUCCUCAUGCGCGACGCGAUCGCGAAAACAGCAAACAAUUAACACCACGCCGAUGUUGUCCACAGGACAGCAAGAGUAAACGAUCGGGAGACUGUUGUCGUCGUUAUCGUUCCCCUCGCACGGUUUAUUUCACCGAAUUCAGCGUUUUUGCUCCACAACUAAAGCGAGCAGUUUACUUUGUGCACUAACAUGGAGUCGAGUCAACCAGCGCCACCUCUGGCCAAGUGCCACAGCCUACAGCCAGAUCAACCUGUGACACACAUCUGCAGCACGUUUGAUUUCGUUUCUUGCACAACACAUUUGUACCUUUCAAUUGUGUCUGUUUGUGCGUCAUGCAAAUGAACCUUUGAAAUGAAUGAAAUGAUAUCAUAUAUUCCUUAUUGGCCUACAUUUGUACAAAAUUCCAAAUUAUAUACACAAAGUCAUAGAAAUCACCACUCCAAUUGGUCAUCAUGAUUUUGAUAUUCUCUUUUCCCAUAACAAUGAAAUACGCCUUGGACAAAUAUGACACAUCAAUAUUUCAUUAGUGUCGUCACAUCACAUCCUGUAAGCAUCAUCUGCCUGUGUCCUUUCCCUGGAAAUUAAUAUUUCCAGCCAAUAUAGGCAAUCCAUCAACAUGGCUGGAGAGUUGGUAGUUAUAUAUAAAGUCAGUGACUCAGGUGUGUCGCUUGGUUUGUCAUCUGUUUGUGAGACUGGAGGAGACGCAAUCUUGUGUUUUAAAUCUUAGUUAGGAAGAUUCCUGUUUUAAAACAAGCACGUAUUGUGAGAAAUGCAAGAAGUACAUCUGCAGAAAGCACACAGUUACAUUCUGUCCAUCAUGUGGACAAAAUUGAAAAUGUUGAGCAUUGAAAAACUGAGAACGUUGGGCAAGUUCAAAAGAAAUGUGUUUGUAAGAACGAAAAACCAAAUUGUUCCUAAAAUAGUUAUGGAAAGUCUAACUGUUGUAUGUCUGUGUUCUACAUGUUUAUCUGAUGGGAAAUAAAGUUGC